CAGCCGCCGCGGUAAUACGGAGGGUGCGAGCGUUAAUCGGAAUUACUGGGCGUAAAGGGUGCGUAGGUGGUUUGAUAAGUUAUCUGUGAAAUCCCUGGGCUUAACCUGGGCAGGUCAGAUAAGACUGUUGGACUCGAGUAUAGGAGAGGGUAGUGGAAUUUCCGGUGUAGCGGUGAAAUGCGUAGAGAUCGGAAGGAACACCAGUGGCGAAGGCGGCUACCUGGCCUGAUACUGACACUGAGGCACGAAAGCGUGGGGAGCAAACGGGAUUAGAUACCCCUGUAGUCCCUGUCUCUUAUAC
rnacentral:rRNA from 1 species